UACGUAGGGGGCAAGCGUUGCUCGGAAUCACUGGGCGUAAAGGGUGCGUAGGCGGGUCUUUAAGUCAGGGGUGAAAUCCUGGAGCUCAACUCCAGAACUGCCUUCGAUACUGAGAGUCUCGAGUCCGGGAGAGGUGAGUGGAACUGCGAGUGUAGAGGUGAAAUUCGUAGAUAUUCGCAAGAACACCAGUGGCGAAGGCGGCUCACUGGCCCGGUACUGACGCUGAGGUGCGAAAGCGUGGGGAGCAAACAGG
rnacentral:rRNA from 1 species